GGAGAAUUAAAGGUAAACCAUUAUGGCAGAAAUAUUACGACAAAUUGAUUUUCAAUAUAGAAUGGAGGUUGCUUUUAUUAUGAAAGAUAUCAAUUGGAUAAAUACAUGGAAAUCUGGGCUCCGUGCAGGCAAUAUAGAACUAAUUAUAACUCCUUGGUGGAAUUACACUCCUCUCUCUUCUUUUAUCACCUCAAUACCAGGACAUAGUAUGAUAGUGGCUGAAUGAAAG